UGGGGAAUAUUGGGCAAUGGGCGAAAGCCUGAUCCAGCAAUGCCGCGUGUGUGAAGAAGGUCUUCGGAUUGUAAAGCACUUUCGACGGGGACGAUGAUGACGGUACCCGUAGAAGAAGCCCCCGGCUAACUUCGUGCCAG
rnacentral:rRNA from 1 species